UACGUAGGUGGCAAGCGUUGUCCGGAUUUACUGGGCGUAAAGAGCGCGCAGGCGGUCGUUCAAGUCGCGUGUGAAAGCCCCCGGCUCAACUGGGGAGGGUCACGCGAUACUGAUCGACUCGAAGGCAGGAGAGGGUAGUGGAAUUCCCGGUGUAGUGGUGAAAUUCGUAGAUAUCAGGAGGAACACCAGUGGCGAAGGCGGCUUCCUGGACACCAACUGACGCUGAGACGCGAAAGCGUGGGGAGCAAACAGGG
rnacentral:rRNA from 1 species